GAUGAACGCUGGCGGCGUGCCUAAUACAUGCAAGUCGAGCGAACAGACGAGGAGCUUGCUCCUCUGACGUUAGCGGCGUACGGGUGAGUAACACGUGGAUAACCUACCUAUCAGACUGGGAUAACUUCGGGAAACCGGAGCUAAUACCGGAUAAUAUAUUGAACCGCAUGGUUCAAUAGUGAAAGACGGUUUUGCUGUCACUUAUAGAUGGAUCCGCGCCGCAUUAGCUAGUUGGUAAGGUAACGGCUUACCAAGGCAACGAUGCGUAGCCGACCUGAGAGGGAGAUCGGCCACACUGGAACGGAGACACGGACCAGACUCCUAAGGGAGGCAGCAGUAGAAAAUAUUCUGCAAUGGGCGAAAGCGUGACAGAGCAACGAAGAGUGAGUGAUGAAGGUGUUCGGAUCGUAAAACUCUGUUAUUAAAGAAGAACAAAUGUGUAAGUAACUAUGCAAGUCUUGACGGUACCUAAUCAGAAAGCCACGGCUAACUACGUG
rnacentral:rRNA from 1 species